rnacentral:tRNA from 2 species
GCCGACGUGGUGAAAUUGGUAUACACGCUACCUUGAGGUGGUAGUGGCCGUAAGGCUGUGUGGGUUCGAGUCCCGUCGUCGGCACCA